GUGGGGAAUAUUGCGCAAUGGGGGAAACCCUGACGCAGCAAUACCGCGUGAGUGAAGAAGGUUUUCGGAUCGUAAAACUCUUUUAUUGGGGAAGAAGAAGUGACGGUACCCAAUGAAGAAGUCCCGGCUAACUACGUGCCAGCAGCCGCGGUAAUACGUAGGGGACAAGCGUUGUCCGGAAUCACUGGGCGUAAAGGGCGCGUAGGCGGUUUUAUAAGUCAGAUGUGAAAGGUACCGGCUCAACCGGUGACGUGCAUUUGAAACUGUAAGACUUGAGUACUGGAGAGGCAAGUGGAAUUCCUAGUGUAGCGGUGAAAUGCGUAGAUAUUAGGAGGAACACCGGUGGCGAAGGCGGCUUGCUGGACAGAUACUGACGCUGAGGUGCGAAAGCGUGGGGAGCGAACAGGAUUAGAAACCCCUGUAGUCC
rnacentral:rRNA from 1 species